UGGAGUCUUGCUCUGUUGUUCAGGCUGGAGCGUGUAGGGCCAUCUCCGUUCACUGCAACCUCUGCCUGCUGGGUUCAAGCAAUUGUCCUGCCUCAGCCUCCUGAGCAUCUGGGAUUACAGACACCUGCUACCACGCCCAGCUUUUUUUCUAUUUUCAGUAGAGAUGGGGUUUCACCAUGUUAGCCAAGCUGGUCUUGAACUCCUGACCUCAAGUGAUCCGCCCGCCUUGGCCUCCCAAAGGGCUGGGAUUGCAGUUGUGAGCCAUCGCGGCCGGCCUAAAAGAAUUUUUUUUUUGAGACGGAGUUUCGUUCUUGUUGCCCAGGCUGGAGCGCAAUGGCGUGAUCUCGGCUCACUGCAACCUCCGCCUCCCCGGUUCAAGCGAUUCUCUUGCCUCAGCCUCCCGAGUAGCUGGAAUUACAGGCGCGCACCACCACGCCUGGCUAAUUUUUUGUGUUUUUAGUAAAGACGGGGUUUCACCAUGGCCAGGCUGGUCUUGAACUUCUGACCUCGGGUGAUCCGCCUGCCUCGGCCUUCCAGAGUGCUAGGAUUACAGGUGUGAGCCACCGUGCCCAGCCAAGAAUUUUUUUUUUUUAAGUAAAUAUUUCUUUUUAGGGGUCAGAUUUCGUGUUCACUUGCAAGCUCUCAAUGACAGUGUUUUUUGCCUCGGCCUCCGAAAGUGCUGGGAUUACAGGCGUGAGCCACCGUGCCCGGCCAUUUUGGUUUUUUAAUUUUUUUUUUUUUUCUUUUUGAGACAGAGUUUCGCUCUUGUUGCCCAGGCUUGAGUGCAAUGGCGCAAUCUUGGCUCACUGCAACCUCCAUCUCGCGGGUUCAAGCGAUUCUCCUGCCUCAGCCUCCCAAGUAGUUGGGACUACAGGCAUGCGCCACCACGCCCGGCUAAUUUUUUCUAUUUAGUAUUUCAACAGUUGGUCAGUCUGUUCUCGAACUCCUGACCUCAGGUGACGCCUCGGCCUCCCGAAGUGCUGGGAUUACAGGAAUGAGCCAUGGCCUGGUUUUUAAAUUCUUUUUAAAGAUUGAUACUUCAUAUUGAUUUUGAAUUUUUUUGUUUUUGUUUUUUGAGACAGGGUCUCGCUCCGUUACCCAGGCUGGAGUGCAGUGGCCCAAUCAUAUUAUAACUUACUGCUAAUUUUAAAAUUUUUUUCUGGGGAGGUUGGGGUUGGGGGUGGUGUCGUCUCCUUAUGUCGCCCAGGCUGGUCUCAAACUCCCGGACUCAAGUGAUUCUCUCGCCUUGGCCUCCUAAAGAGCUGGAAUUACAGGCGUGAGCCACCCCACCCCGAAUAACAAGUGAUAUUGUGUUACAUUCGUAUAAUGUGUAAUGAUCAAAUCAGGGUAACUGGGAUAGCUGUCACCUCAAACACUGAUCAUUUCUUUGUGUUAGGAGCAUUUCAAAUAUUUUCUUCUAGCUACUUUGAAAUAUACAGUAAAUUACCGUUAGCUAUAAUUACCCUACUGUGCUACCGAACACUAGGUCUGACCGUAUUUUAGUACCCAUUCGCUGACAGUGUUUUUAAAACUCUCAAAAGCACCUCUUUAUUUGUGAUAACGAUAGCUGCCAAGAACCAUCUCUUAAUCAACUGUCCAAUGAUCGCCCUCUCUUCCACCAAAACUAAUCUCACGCGACCCAGAUGGGACUCGAACCCACAAUCCCCAGCUCCGGAGGCUGAUGCCUUAUCCAUUAGGCCACUGGGUCACCA
rnacentral:tRNA from 1 species